CCUACGGGAGGCAGCAGUGGGGAAUAUUGCACAAUGGGGGGAACCCUGACGCAGCCAUGCCGCGUGUGUGAAGAAGGCCUUCGGGUUGUAAAGCACUUUCAGUUGUGAGGAAAGGUUAGUAGUUAAUACCUGCUAGCUGUGACGUUAGCAACAGAAGAAGCACCGGCUAACUCCGUGCCAGCAGCCGCGGUAAUACGGAGGGUGCGAGCGUUAAUCGGAAUUACUGGGCGUAAAGCGCACGCAGGCGGUUUGUUAAGCUAGAUGUGAAAGCCCCGAGCUCAACUUGGGAUGGUCAUUUAGAACUGGCAGACUAGAGUCUUGGAGAGGGGAGUGGAAUUUCUAGUGUAGCGGUGAAAUGCGUAGAUAUUAGAAGGAACAUCAGUGGCGAAGGCGACUCCCUGGCCAAAGACUGACGCUCAUGUGCGAAAGUGUGGGUAGCGAACAGGAUUAGAUACCCUGGUAGUCCACGCCGUAAACGAUGAGUGCUAAGUGUUAGAGGGUUUCCGCCCUUUAGUGCUGAAGUUAACGCAUUAAGCACUCCGCCUGGGGAGUACGCACGCAAGUGUGAAACUCAAAGGAAUUGACGGA
rnacentral:rRNA from 1 species